rnacentral:rRNA from 1 species
GACGAACGCUGGCGGCGUGCUUAACACAUGCAAGUCGAACGGAAAGGCCCUUCGGGGUACUCGAGUGGCGAACGGGUGAGUAACACGUGGGUGAUCUGCCCUGCACUUUGGGAUAAGCCUGGGAAACUAGGUCUAAUACCGAAUAGGACCACGCGCUUCAUGGUGUGUGGUGGAAAGCUUUUGCGGUGUGGGAUGGGCCCGCGGCCUAUCAGCUUGUUGGUGGGGUAAUGGCCUACCAAGGCGACGACGGGUAGCCGGCCUGAGAGGGUGACCGGCCACACUGGGACUGAGAUACGGCCCAGACUCCUACGGGAGGCAGCAGUGGGGAAUAUUGCACAAUGGGCGCAAGCCUGAUGCAGCGACGCCGCGUGAGGGAUGACGGCCUUCGGGUUGUAAACCUCUUUCGCCAGGGACGAAGCGCAAGUGACGGUACCUGGAGAAGAAGGACCGGCCAACUACGUGCCAGCCGCCGCGGUAAGAC